rnacentral:rRNA from 1 species
GACAGAGGGUGCAAACGUUGUUCGGAAUUACUGGGCGUAAAGCGUGUGUAGGCGGCUACGUAAGUCGGAUGUGAAAGCCCCAGGCUCAACCUGGGAAGUGCACUCGAUACUGCGUAGCUUGAGUAUCGGAGAGGUUGGUGGAAUUCUCGGUGUAGAGGUGAAAUUCGUAGAUAUCGAGAGGAACACCGGUGGCGAAGGCGGCCAACUGGACGAAUACUGACGCUGAGACACGAAAGCGUGGGGAGCGAACAGG